AUUGAACGCUGGCGGCAGGCUUAACACAUGCAAGUCGAGCGGAGAUGAGGUGCUUGCACCUUAUCUUAGCGGCGGACGGGUGAGUAAUGCUUAGGAAUCUGCCUAUUAGUGGGGGACAACAUUCCGAAAGGAAUGCUAAUACCGCAUACGUCCUACGGGAGAAAGCAGGGGAUCUUCGGACCCUGCGCCAAUAGAUGAGCCUCAGUCGGAUUAGCUAGUUGGUGGGGUAAAGGCCUACCAAGGCGACGAUCUGGAGCGGGUCUGAGAGGAUGAUCCGCCACACUGGGACUGAGACACGGCCCAGACUCCUACGGGAGGCAGCAGUGGGGAAUAUUGGACAAUGGGGGGAACCCUGAUCCAGCCAUGCCGCGUGUGUGAAGAAGGCCUUAUGGUUGUAAAGCACUUUAAGCGAGGAGGAGGCUACUGAGACUAAUACUCUUGGAUAGUGGACGUUACUCGCAGAAUAAGCACCGGCUAACUCUGUGCCAGCCGCCGCGGUAAGAC
rnacentral:rRNA from 1 species